GGGGAUUUAGCUCAGAGGUAGAGCACUUGCCUAGCAAGCACAAGGCCCUGGGUUCGGUCCCCAGCUCUG
rnacentral:tRNA from 1 species